rnacentral:rRNA from 1 species
GAUGAACGCUGGCGGCGUGCCUAAUACAUGCAAGUCGAGCGAAUGGAUUAAGAGCCUGCUCUUAUGAAGUUAGCGGCGGACGGGUGAGUAACACGUGGGUAACCUGCCCAUUAGACUGGGAUAACUCCGGGAAACCGGGGCUAAUACCGGAUAACAUUUUGAACCGCAUGGUUCGAAAUUGAAAGGCGGCUUCGGCUGUCACUUAUGGAUGGACCCGCGUCGCAUUAGCUAGUUGGUGAGGUAACGGCUCACCAAGGCAACGAUGCGUAGCCGACCUGAGAGGGUGAUCGGCCACACUGGGACUGAGACACGGCCCAGACUCCUACGGGAGGCAGCAGUAGGGAAUCUUCCGCAAUGGACGAAAGUCUGACGGAGCAACGCCGCGUGAGUGAUGAAGGCUUUCGGGUCGUAAAACUCUGUUGUUAGGGAAGAACGAGUGCUAGUUGAAUAAGCUGGCACCUUGACGGUACCUAACCAGAAAGCCACGGCUAACUACGUGCCAGCAGCCGCGGUAA